CGCGGUUGUUGCUGCUGGUCACUCUAAACACAAUUACUUGUCAAAUGUGUUCUUACAGCUCAGCUAACCCUAACGAUCAUAAACGAUCGAGUGAACAAAGGGUGAAGACACGAGAUCGUCUCUUGAUUGAUUCAAGUCUUAUAUAAAACAUUAUUAAAUUAAUUGAAAUUUAUCCAUAUUAUUAUUGGUUCGAGACCAAAACGCCGAGCGUAAUCAAACACUGAAAAUUGUAAGUGGAAUAUUAAUUUAUUGUACAUUUAAUCAUACUGAUCACAAUAUAUCGCACAGUUGAAGCUGAUUAAUACAUAACCAAAAACAACAUCUUUAAUCUGCUAUCGAAACUCAGUGCGUUUGCACUCGUUCGACGUAACAAUCUUCAAAAUUUUCAUUUAACCGUUUCGGUCACUUGCGAAGCAGGAUGAGCAAACAACAAAAAACCGGUGAUCGUACAUCAAAUACCAACGAUGAUGAAUUUAUAAAUCAGAACUCUGCAUCUGAUUCAAAAUCAGAUGAUCCAGCUAUUGAUUGGGACGAGUCGUGUGUAAAUAUAACACCCUUGCAAAUUAAGUUGCAUCUGGACCAUCUGCAUGAAAUUAAACGCAUCCGCAUGAAAGCUAUUGAUGAGCGUGAGGCUUUAGAGCUAUCAAUGGCUAAUGAGGAAUAUAAAAUAAAGAAAGCGCAGCUACAUUUUUCGCUGAAAGUGAGAUGUCCUGAAGAAAAGGAGGAUAUUUGUGAGUUGAACCUUUCUGACACAUCACUGCUACCAGAACCAUUUGAAUAUGCUUCUAGUAAUGAAGAGGACACUUCGUUUCAGCAACAGAAUAAUCCACUAACUCCUCAGCAGAUCGCAUCUCGGCAAGUACUUACAACAGAUUUGCCUUUGUUCAGCGGAAACCCAGAAGAUUGGCCAUUGUUUUAUAGUCAAUACAAAAUUUCUACGGAAGCUUGCGGUUAUACGAAUGCUGAAAAUUUAGUUCGUUUACAACGCUCUUUAGGAGGAAAAGCUUUGGAGUAUGUUCGCAGUCGACUUUUGCUACCGGAACUGGUUCCUCGUGUGAUGGAAACACUUAAAAUGUUUUUUGGGCGUCCAGUGUUAAUCGUGAACACAUUGUUGAAUAAAGUGCGCGGAACAGCCUCCCCAACAACAGAGAAUUUGCAAAGUCUUAUUAAUUUUGGGAUGGAAAUACAAAACUUAUGCGACCACCUUAUAGCAAUGGAUCAGAAGGACCAUCUCUCGAACCCAACACUUUUGCAAGAGCUCGAAGAAAAGCUUCCAGGGCAAAUUAGGCUUGAAUGGGCUCGAUACAAACAAAGGAGUCAAUCUGCAUCACUAAUUUCGCUGAACAAUUAUAUGCAAUCUUUAGUGAAAUCGGCUUGCCAAGUUACACACAUUGAAUGUAUUCAAAAUACAGAAAGUCACAAUUUUUACGACGAUAGUAAUGACAAUGAGCUGAAUAUCCCAGUAUCGUCCAGUGAGACAAUAAGAAACUGUUUGAUUUGUCGUGGGAAUCAUCGUGUUGCAGAUUGUGAUACGUUCAAAUCUUUCGAAGUCGAACACCGUUGGAAAUUGAUUGGAGAUCGGAAACUGUGUAGAAGCUGCCUAAACCAACAUAACAGCAGAAUGUGCAGGUUCACACGGCGAUGCGGAAUAGAGAGAUGUGAGCUGUUACACCAUCCCUUGCUCCACCAGUUACAAAGAGCUUCCAACUCCCGCGGUAAUGAAUAAACUGUAACACAUCUUUAUCACGUUGUAUUACGGGGGUGGGGAUGUUACCGCGGUUGUUGCUGCUGGUCACUCUAAACACAAUUACUUGUCAAAUGUGUUCUUACAGCUCAGCUAACCCUAACGAUCAUAAACGAUCGAGUGAACAAAGGGUGAAGACACGAGAUCUCUUGAUUGAUCCAAGUCUUAUAUAAAACAUUAUUAAAUUAAUUGAAAUUUAUCCAUAUUAUUAUUGGUUCGAGACCAAAACGCCGAGCGUAAUCAAACACUGAAAAUUUUGAAGCUGAUUAAUACAUAACCAAAAACAACAUCUUUAAUCUGCUAUCGAAACUCAGUGCGUUUGCACUCGUUCGACGUAAC